rnacentral:rRNA from 1 species
AUUGAACGCUGGCGGCAGGCCUAACACAUGCAAGUCGAACGAGUGGCGGACGGGUGAGUAAUGUCUGGGAAACUGCCUGAUGGAGGGGGAUAACUACUGGAAACGGUAGCUAAUACCGCAUACCCUCGGAUGUGCCCAGAUGGGAUUAGCUCGUAGGUGGGGUAACGGCACACCUAGGCGACGAUCCCUAGCUGGUCUGAGAGGAUGACCAGCCAAACUGGAACGGAGGCACGGUCCAGACUCCUACGGGAGGCAGCAGUGGGGAAUAGUGCACAAUGGGCGCAAGCCUGAUGCAGCCAUGCCGCGUGUAUGAAGAAGGCCUUCGGGUUGUAAAGUACUUUCAGCGAGGAGGCGUUACCCGCAGGAGAAGCACCGGCUAACUCCGUGCCAGCAGCCGCGGUAAUAC